UUUGUUCAUGCAACCUCUUGUCGGGGCGAAAUUCGCAGUGCUUAUUGUCUGCACGCACUUUGGGACAAGCUCAACGGCAGUAAGAACCACUACGGAAAUUGAAGUAUCCGUUGUGGUUGCUGCGCUUUUG
ensembl:ncRNA Y34B4A.18 ncRNA